UAAAAUAAUUAUGGUAAAUAAGACUCUCUCUCUCUCUCUGUAAGUAUUACGACAAACGUACAAACGGAAACAAAAAUAGUGAACACAAAAUAAUCAAACCACAAGCAAAAAUAAAGGAGAACACACAGAUCUACGUGAAAAGUUCUUUGCAGGAAAAAAUCACGGGCGAGAGAGGAGAGAACUUCACUAUCAAACGAAAAAAAAGAAUACAAUGUUCGGAAAGUACAACCAACUUCAAUCUGUCGCUUCUAGGGCAAAAACGAAAAAGAAAACUCUUAACGGAUUUUGAAUCCGAUCCGUACCAAGCCUUCCGCUAUCUACCACAGACAUUUAUUUUUCCUUCACAAUUUUAUUUUCAAAAGUUGUACCGCGAAACUGUUGGCAAGUCAAAGUCCUGAACUGAAGUCGCUUAUCAAUUUCGAGUCACAUCGAAUAGUAAGAGAGAUGGAGAGAGUUUUUAGAGAGAGAGAGUUAUUGUUGUUCAUUGAAGUUGGGAC
rnacentral:lncRNA from 1 species